UGGGUUUCAGGUGUCCUCGAUCCUUUUAGUGCGAAAUUCAACACAGGAUGUUUUCCAUGGUCCUCUGCCCUCCUCACAUUUGACUUUGGAUUGCACAUGCAUUCAACGGAACUUCUAGAAGCAGACUGAAGAUCCUGGUCUCUGGAAAAUUCCUUCUUCGUUCUUGUCCUCGUGUCUUAGUUUGGGAUGCUGAACAGAAUACUGUAGAAAGGAGAAGGCUUAUCAACAAAAUAAGUUUAUUUUUCACUGUUCAAGAACAUAGAAGUUGAAGGGUAGUUGGAUUCUGGUGAUGCCCCUCUUCCAAUUUGUAGAGGGUCAACUAACCCUUGUACUUUCACAUGGUGGAAAGAAACAAUGUUCUGUUUCGUAAGGGCACUAAUCCCAUUCAGGAGGGCUCCAUCCUCGUGACCUAAUUACCUCUCAAAGGUAAUUAUUUACCUCCUCAUGUCAUCACACUAUGGCUUAGCAAUUUCAACAUAAGAAUUUUGAGAGGGUAUAAGCAUUCAAUCCUUUGCCCUUUCAGAUGAAAAAAAUCUAAAUAUAUCCUGUGAUCAGUCGAUGUUUUUCCUUGUGGUUAUCAGUUGCUAUGUGUAUACCCUUCAUGGAUAAUCCUGUCUGGAUAAAAGGUCAGUGGCAGAAAUGCACUUGAUCAGAGAGCCAAGGGACAAACACAGUUUAAAAAAUCCAAAAAUGCUCACUUUUUCUCAGAGACUAGGGACUCCUGAAUUUCCAGAGGGAAUGCAGGCUGAUUAGCUUUUCUCUGAGCAGAGAAAAGGGAACAUCCAUUUAAUGUGGUUUUUUUUCUGCUAAGUGUAUUACAGAAAAUAAAAAGUGAAUCAUUUCUGCAUUGAAUUAUGAGCAUAACCCUGCCAUAUAUCCAUGUGAAUUGAUCUUGUUUAGUGAACUCUAACUAUCUAAGCGAAAUGACUAUCAAAUUCUAACAUGGCAAACAGUCAAUAUUUGUGCAACAACUCAGCCUUCUGUCAGAUAUCACUCAUGGAUCACAUCAUUUCCCCCUUUGUGCCAAUCAGGGCUUCACAAUCCUCUAAAAAUAGCCUCGGAGCAACUAUAAUCAAUGAACCCGAGUUGCUCGGGAGAUAGAACCCAUUUUCCACACCUGACUUCUUUGGUGUCCUCUAAAGUGGCCAACAUGUUGUUAUUUCAACAUUGCCUACGUUCGUCCCUUGUUAAUGAACUGCACUUGGGUGAAACAAACCAAAUACGCUCAAUAAAAUUGCAGAAACUUUAUGAUUUCAAAGAAAGCAGAUAUUCAGUAUUCAGCUGUUUCCCCCCCACCCCAAACCCUAAAGAAAUUUCUGUGUUUUGAAAAUAAACAGAUCAUUUUCAGGCGAACACCUUUUGUUGCAAAUAUCCCAUGCACCACCCGGAAGGAAGAGAUCAAAGUCAGCUGUGUGAAGAUGGUUACCCAGGGCAGAGUCAAAGGUUCCGAGGAGUGGGCAAAGAUUCUGCCAGCGCAGUAGGUAGCUUCAUGUUCUAUUCAGGACUUAGAAGAGAUCAGACUUACCACAAAUUGAAGCUGAAAGAAGUUUGAAUUGGCCAAAACUUCAUUUGCUUUCUUCAAUAGAAAGUUCAGUUCUUCUCCAUGGCUGCCUGUGCUGAUUUCUGCAGGCUUUCCUUCCCACCCGUGUGUGUGUGUGUGUGUGUGUGUGUAAUAUUCCCUGAGAAAAUAAAAUAGAGCCAGCACGGCAAGAUAACUAGACCAUCCCCAUAUUGAAACACCUACCUGAAAUUUAAGUGUUUUUAAGGGUUGACUCUCUCACAUUGCUGUCUAGAAUGUUCUGUAUGCCUCUCUUCCUAUGUGCUCUCCUUAAAUGAACAAUAUUGCUUAUCUUUUACUUUUGUUGUGUACUCUUAUUUUAUUUUCAUCUUAUAUAUACACUGAUUUUUUUUAAUGUUUCAUUACCAGCCUCCUUUUAUUCAAGAUUUUCUUUGUACCAAGCAAGGAAAGAUUUUUUUAAAAAAUUUAUUUAUUUAACUCAUACAUUGAUUCAACAGAUAUUUUAUGAAUGGCAUUUUUUCCUGACUUAUGUGAUAGUGUGGAGAUUAAAUAAGAAUAAGGGACCUACUUUUGUGCGGCUUUUGUGCUAAUAGGGUAAUAAAAAUACACAGUGGAA
rnacentral:lncRNA from 1 species